UACGUAGGGUGCAAGCGUUAAUCGGAAUUACUGGGCGUAAAGCGUGCGUAGGUGGUUUGUUAAGUCUGUUGUGAAAGCCCCGGGCUCAACCUGGGAAUGGCAAUGGAUACUGGCAAGCUAGAGUGCGGUAGAGGGUAGUGGAAUUCCCGGUGUAGCGGUGAAAUGCGUAGAGAUCGGGAGGAACACCAGUGGCGAAGGCGGCUACCUGGACCAGCACUGACACUGAGGCACGAAAGCGUGGGGAGCAAACAGG
rnacentral:rRNA from 1 species